rnacentral:rRNA from 1 species
GAUGAACGCUGGCGGCGUGCCUAAUACAUGCAAGUCGAGCGAACAAACGAGGAUCUUGUUCCUCUGACGUUAGCGGCGGACGGGUGAGUCACACGUGGAUAACCUACCUAUAAGACUGGUAUAACUUCGGGAAUCCGGAGCUAAUACCGGAUAAUAUCUUGAACCGCAUGGUUCAUUAGUGAAUGACGGUUUUGCUGUCACUUCUCGAUGGAUCCGUGCCGCUUUAGCUAGUUGGUAAGGUAACGGCUUAUCAAGGCAACGAUGCGUAGCCGACCUGAGAGGGUGAUCGGCCACACUGGAACUGAGACACGGUCCAGACGACUAAGGGAGGGAGCAGAAGGGAAUGUUACGCAAUGGGCGAAAGCUUGACGGAACAAGGCCACGUGAGAGAUAAAAGUCUUCGGAUCGUAAAACUCUGUUAUUAGGGAAGAACAAAUGUGUAAGUAACUAAAGACGUCUUGACGGUACCUAAUAAGAAAGCCACGGCUAACUACGUG